UACGGAGGGUGCAAGCGUUAUCCGGAUUCACUGGGUUUAAAGGGUGCGUAGGUGGGUCUGUAAGUCAGUGGUGAAAUCUCCGAGCUUAACUUGGAAACUGCCAUUGAUACUAUAGAUCUUGAAUACUGUGAGGUCAGCGGAAUAUGUCAUGUAGCGGUGAAAUGCUUAGAUAUGACAUAGAACACCAAUUGCGAAAGGCAGCUGGCUACACAAAUAUUGACACUGAGGCACGAAAGCGUGGGGAUCAAACAGGA
rnacentral:rRNA from 1 species